rnacentral:rRNA from 1 species
AAGUCGUAACAAGGUUUCCGUAGGUUGCUGAGGUUUGCCUACGUUGCUAGUCUACUUAAUUGUGGGCAAUAUCUCUACUGUGCUAGGAAUCACUCUUUGUGUGCUACUAGCAGCUCGAGCAAUUCGAGUUCACAGGUCAAAUAGAGGUGGCUCUUUUAAAGGGUUAAGAUAUGAUCGAGCUGCAGUUCUGGUGAGCUGUGAGGAAAAGUGGAACCUGCGGAAGGAUCAUUACAGAGAACAUGCCCCUUGGGGUAUAUCUCCCACCCUUUGUUUACAAUACCUCUGUUGCUUUGGCGGGCCCGUCUCACGACCACCGGCUCCGGCUGGUCCGUGCCUGCCAGAGGACCCAAAUCUCUAUCAUUAUGAUGUCUGAAUACAGUAUAAUAAUUAAAACUUUCAACAACGGAUCUCUUGGUUCUGGCAUCGAUGAAGAACGCAGCGAAAUGCGAUAAGUAAUGUGAAUUGCAGAAUUCAGUGAAUCAUCGAAUCUUUGAACGCACAUUGCACCCUCUGGUAUUCCGGGGGGUAUGCCUGUUCGAGCGUCAUUUCAACCCUCAAGCUCUGCUUGGUAUUAGAUGUCACCACUUGUGGUGUGUCCCAAAAGCAUUGGCGGUGGCAUUUGGCUUCUAGUGUAGUAAUUUUCUCGCUCUGGAGCCCUAAGUGUCUGCCUGCCAGAACUCUUAUCAAGGUUGACCUCGGAUCAGGUAGGGAUACCCGCUGAACUUAA